rnacentral:rRNA from 1 species
AGUGAACGCUGGCGGUAGGCCUAACACAUGCGAGUCGAACGGAUCCUUCGGGAUUAGUGGCGGACGGGUGAGUAACACGUGGGAACGUGCCCUUUGGUUCGGAACAACUCAGGGAAACUUGAGCUAAUACCGGAUGUGCCCUUCGGGGGAAAGAUUUAUCGCCAUUGGAGCGGCCCGCGUCUGAUUAGCUAGUUGGUGAGGUAAAGGCUCACCAAGGCGACGAUCAGUAGCUGGUCCGAGAGGAUGAUCAGCCACAUUGGGACUGAGACACGGCCCAAACUCCUACGGGAGGCAGCAGUGGGGAAUCUUGCGCAAUGGGCGAAAGCCUGACGCAGCCAUGCCGCGUGAAUGAUGAAGGUCUUAGGAUUGUAAAAUUCUUUCACCGGGGACGAUAAUGACGGUACCCGGAGAAGAAGCCCCGGCUAACUUCGUGCCAGCCGCCGCCGUAA